UAAAUCAACAAUGAUCAUGAAUAUCAUCAGGCUGACUCUGGUGGUUGUGAUAGCGACUCUACUGCUUCUAUUUUGUCUCUGCAUGAGAUUCAGGAAGAAGACAACUCUGAGCUCCACCAAUGAACCAAAUGAACCCAAAGAGACUCUGGAGUCAGACUCUGUGUAUGAGAACAUCUCAGACUCUGCAGCACGGAGAGAAGACGCAGAGGUGCAGGAAGACCUGGUGUGAAGCUCAGCCAGGUUUGAGUCUGCUGCAUGAGGAAAAAAAUCACAAAC